GACGAACGCUGGCGGCGUGCUUAACACAUGCAAGUCGAACGGAAAGGCCUCUUUCGGGGGGUACUCGAGUGGCGAACGGGUGAGUAACACGUUUGUAACCUGCCCUUGACUUUGGGAUAACUUCAGAAAACUGGGGCUAAUACUGGAUAGGAGCUCCUUCUGCAUGGUGUGGGUUGGCGAGUUUCGGAGGUUGGGGAUGGAGUCGCGGCUUAUCAGCUUGUUGGUGGGGUAGUGGCUUACCAAGGCUUUGACGGGUAGCCGGCGUGGGAGGGUGACCGGCCACCCUGGGACUGGGAUAGGGCCCAGGUCCCUACGGGAGGGAGAAGUGGGGAAUAGUGCAAUAUGGGUAGAAGCCUGAUGCAGCACCACCGUGUGCGGGAUGGCGGCGUUGGGGUUGUAGAUCGAUUUCGCUCAUGACGAAGAAUUGUGUGACGGUAGUGGGUAAAGAAGCACCGGCUAACUACGUG
rnacentral:rRNA from 1 species